UACGUAGGUGGCAAGCGUUGUCCGGAUUUAUUGGGUUUAAAGGGUGCGUAGGUGGUCUUGUAAGUCAGUGGUGAAAUACGGCAGCUUAACUGUCGAGAUACCAUUGAUACUACGGGACUUGAGUACAGACGAGGUAGGCAGAAUUGACGAUAUAACGAUGGAAUGCUUAGAUAUCGUCAAGAACACCGAUAGCGAAGACAGCUUACUAGACUGUAACUGACACUGAGGCACGAAAGUGUGGGGAUCAAACAGG
rnacentral:rRNA from 1 species